UUACACAAAUAUGAAGGCGGGCUGGAACCUCUCGGGGUUACAGCCUUGCUGAAUUAUUCACCCUUGUCUUUUGCGUACUUCUUGUUUCCUUGGUGGGUUCGCCCACCACUAGGACAAACAUAAACCUUUUGUAAUUGCAAUCAGCGUCAGUAACAAAUUAAUAAUUACAACUUUCAACAACGGAUCUCUUGGUUCUGGCAUCGAUGAAGAACGCAGCGAAAUGCGAUAAGUAGUGUGAAUUGCAGAAUUCAGUGAAUCAUCGAAUCUUUGAACGCACAUUGCGCCCUUUGGUAUUCCAAAGGGCAUGCCUGUUCGAGCGUCAUUUGUACCCUCAAGCUUUGCUUGGUGUUGGGCGUCUUGUCUCUAGCUUUGCUGGAGACUCGCCUUAAAGUAAUUGGCAGCCGGCCUACUGGUUUCGGAGCGCAGCACAAGUCGCACUCUCUAUCAGCAAAGGUCUAGCAUCCAUUAAGCCUUUUUUUCAACUUUUGACCUCGGAUCAGGUAGGGAUACCCGCUGAACUUAAGCAUAUCAAUAAGCGGAGGAAAAGAAACCAACAGGGAUUGCCCUAGUAACGGCGAGUGAAGCGGCAACAGCUCAAAUUUGAAAUCUGGCUCUUUUAGAGUCCGAGUUGUAAUUUGCAGAGGGCGCUUUGGCUUUGGCAGCGGUCCAAGUUCCUUGGAACAGGACGUCACAGAGGGUGAGAAUCCCGUACGUGG
rnacentral:rRNA from 1 species